GCUUACGGCCAUACCAACCUGGCUAUGCCCGAUCUCGUCUGAUCUCGGAAGCUAAGCAGGUUUGGGCCUGGUUAGUACUUGGAUGGGAGACGCCUGGGAAUACCAGGUGCUUUAAGCU
rnacentral:rRNA from 1 species